UGGCCCUAAAAAGACUAGACUAGACUAGACUAAACUAAACCAGACCAGACCAGACCAGACCAGUCCAGACUAGACUAGACUAGAAUAUAGAUGGUAAUAAUAUGGACCUCACAGGGCAGUUAUAAACAUUAAUAUUUUAACUGUAAUGCAAACUAAUGCCUGUAUCUUGUUUAGAAGAAGGCUCUUCUAAAGGGCCUAGGUAAGUGUUUAUAAGGUAAAUUCAUUCAUCAGACCCCUCAACCCACCACAAACCUAGUGGCAUAAGCAAUAUCAUUUUCAUUAUGCUGACAAAAUCUGUGCAUCGGGACCCGGUGGGCAUGGCUUCCUUUGCUCCAUAACAUCAGGGCCUCAGUGAGGAAAACCCAUGUCCCAUGCCAGAAGGAGCUCAGGUGGCUGGGGCUGAGUCACCCUGAGGCUCCUUCACUCCCACGGGUAGGGCUUCAAGUGUGCAGGCGUGGGGCGGCAGACUCGAGGGCUACACUUCCCAGGACCAGGGGCCAGAGCCUACUGGUGCCUUGGUCUUGGCCCUGGCUUUGCCCAUCCUGGAGGCUGGGCUCUGAGAGGGAGUGACCCCAGAGCUUGUGAGGAGAGUCAGAAGGAGGCUAGUGGCCUGUUGUGACUGAGCCCCAGCCUUGCAAGGAGUCACCCCCACCACAUUCCACCAGUUGAUGCCGAUUCAGGGGAAGCAACGUGAACUCUGUGGUAUUUGAUCGGACGGGGUAGGGGGCGGCCCUCAGCAGCCCCAUCUGGUUUGCAAGCCCCGUGGGCACUGUCUGAGUGGGCAGGACUGGCCCCCUGAUUCUUCCAGAGGAGCAAAAGUCCCGGGCUGACUUGGGACCCCCCCAGCUGGGUGGGCCUGAUUGAGAGGAAGCCCAGAACCAGGGCCCCUUUUUACAGGGACUGAACACAGGACCCUGGAGUGGCUUCCAAGCCUACAUGGCCAGGGUCAGGCCCUUGUCCCCAUGUCCUGCUUCUAGCACAAUGGAUAGUGAUCCCACCACCUGAAGUCACUGCCGAAUCACUAUUCUUAUCCAGUGAGGUUGCCUGUGCUCCGUUGUUUUAAUUACAGGCUGUCAUUUCAUUUAAAAAAAAUCAGCACUAGGAUUAAGGGUACUGUCAUUUUAAAAGCCAGACUCCUGGCCUAAAAACUCAUCAGUGAAUCAGAGGACAAAUGUUCCCAUUGUGUGGGUUAUAAAUAGGAGCUAUGGAAAAAGUGACAGAAUGAGAUGAAUGCCAUUAAAGUGUAAUUACAUUUACUGUAAAUGUGAGCCUUGGGAAGUCUAUUCUAGGCAGAGAUGCUCUACCAGAGCCUGUGACACGGAAAACCCCCAGCCUCAGCUGAUGGCUGCUUUCAUGUCUGAAUCGUUAUAGUGGAUAUUAUUGUGCAUGGUUCUUCGCAUCCGUUAGCCUUAUUAGGGGUUUGUGAAAGCCCUGUGUCAGUCUGAAGGAAAGUAAGAACCAUGCAUUUCACCUUGCAUCUGAGAAUGUAGCUUUUCUCUUCUCAUAAGGCAGCAUUUCUAUACACCUGUGUUCUAUAGCUCUAUAGUCCAUAUACCUAUAUGUUUCUAAAUAUCUCUGUAGCUCCUACCUCGAGAGCCAAGUGUAGUAACUGGCUUGGACAUAUUUGAAAGGCAGGGCUUCAUUCUUUGUUUGUUUUUUCCUGAAAAUUGUGUUUUUUCAGAUUUUAAACCAUACCUUCUUUUCAUAUAAAACAAUUUUUUAAUGAAGAAAGUAAACUGUUCUAAAUCCAGCCACAUAGAGAUAAAGCACUGCGUCUUCCUUUCAAAUCACAAUCUUUAUGGAUUUAGAGAUAGUUCUAACUUUUCUGUUGCUGUUGUUAAAGCUUAGCAAUAUAUUCUGGCCCUGUCUUUAUGAUGAUACAGUUAGAUUACCGUGUCUAGAGGCCAUUAGGAGAGGAUGAUAUAGGAUCAGUAGACCAUAAUUUAUUUAUUUAAUAAUGACACCAUAAUGUCAUAAUGAACCAAGUAAAAUUUUGGCUCAUAGCUAAAAAUUAGUAUUUUCUGUUGUUGAAAGACAAAUGAUUUUAACUUUAAAAUAUUUAUACCAUGCUUUGAUGAAGCUAUGCAACUUUAUGCAGUUGACCAUUUAUUUUCAUACAUAUUCUUACAAGUGAGAUUGCCAGAUUAAAGAUGUCCACAUUUACUAUUUUGACAUCUCUAUUACCUGUUUUCCCCCUGGAAAAACACCAGUUUACACUCCCACAAACACCUUUGUCAGCAUUAGGUAUUAUAAGUCUUACCAAUCAAGGAAACAAUUUCAUUUUUAUAUUAUUGGCCAUUUAUAUGUCUUUGAAAAAUUACCAGUUCUUUACUUACAUUUAUUGAGACAGUCCCUUUUCAUUGAUUUGUGACUGCUCUUUAUAUAUUAAGGAAACUAGCGCUUUGUCAUGUGUUUACUCUUGUUUUUUUCUCAGUUUCUCUAAGUUUGGAACCUGUUUAUUUUUGUCUUGUUUUAGUUCAUUUUUGCCAUAACAGAGUGUUACGGUGUUAAGGGUUUCAUUGUUUACAACUUCUGACAGCACACAGAACUGCCCUAGAUCCAGAUGAAAAACGUCACCUAUAUACUUCUGAUAUUUCAAUGUUUUCAUUUUGUUUUGUUUGAUAUAAUUUUAGUUUAAGAAAACUACCUCAAUUUUUGCUUCUCAGAUGGUUAUCCAAUUAGGAUUUUUUUCUAAGCUCAGUUGGAGAGGUAGAGGCCAAAGAUCCUGGAGAAAAUAGAGACUAAAAAGCAGGACUGGGUUCUCCAUCUGCCUUCUGCCUUCUGCAUCCUUUCCCUGUGGAGGAGGAGGAGGAGGACUGGGGAAGCCAGGGUGGCUUUAGGUGUUGACUCUCUAGGAAUGUUGGCUGAAGCCAGGACUAAAAUUGGGACAGUAUCCCGAAACUUGGAGGGCAAGUUAGUUUUAAAGGGAAUGGUACCCAGGAUGAUGUUAAGAGGUAGUUCCUGUAAUAGAAAGUUUCUGGUUCCCUCAGAGGCUGCCUUCUCCAUGCUGAGUCCAUGGCCAUCAGAGGACGAGUAUCCACCUCUCCCUGCAGUGGUGUGAUAUUAGCACCCAUGCUGACCCUCAGGAAGCAUGUAUCGAGUGUCUGCUGCAUGCUGGGCAUGUGCUGGGUGCUGGGAGCCUGGUGGGAGAAAACCACAGUGGGUGCAGAGACCAGAGGCAAACACCCUGAGAAGGCACACAAGAUGGGCGCUGCUGUGCCUGGGGAGUCAGGAGCAGCUUCUAGAAGGAGUCCUAAAGGAUAAGGACAGGUAAGAAAUUCCGCCCAUUAACCACCCAUUAACUCCUACAAGACGCAGGCCAGAAGGACAGCCUGCAAGCUGGUCCAGCUUUGUUCUCAUUGAGGGUGAGCUGCAAAUCCUGCCAGGAUGCUUUGGCAGAGGUUGGCUUCUAAUUCCUUUGCGUCCUGGGCACCUGAUGCAGUUGACACGUUUUCAUUCCAUCCAUCGGGCCACAGUGACACCCCCCUUGUGGGGUCUGGCCACCAGUGGCCAUUGGUGGGGCUGGCAGGAGCUGUGUGGUUAGCCUGCCCAAGCUGGAGCCUGGGGUCAGCGCUGGGCUGGGCCAGAAUCCUGGUGAUCCAGUCCCCACAGAGUGAUGGAGAAGCAUAGCUUCCUUGGGCCUGGACACUUGGCUUAUGUUUCGACAAAGUUCAUGUUAGUUUUGCUAAUGGCCUGGCACAUGCUGGUUCAUACGGAGCUGCAUCAGUUCAGAUAUGCAGGCCUUUUAAACAGGAGCUGCUGUGAGAGCCGGUGACACUACAACUCAUUGAUACAGUUUGGUUCCUUUUACUUUAUUGAGUAAUAUUUGACACAGACCUAGGUGCCUAGGUAACAGAUGUUACAUUCGCCUAAAUUACAGGGUAUAGGAAGCAAAUGAAUACUCAUGAACUCACUGUGGACACAAGAGCAGACCCCAGUGAGUCUAAGACCCCCUAGUGCAUCUGAGACCACCCUGAGCCCCUCCCCAACCUGUCCUCAUCUCAGCAACCCCCGCCCCCCAGGCACUCGCCUGGACACUGUGUUUUCAUUAUUUUUCUCAUUUCGAAGCAGCUUCUCCAUAUAUGUAUUAUAGUGAAACAGCAUACUGCGUCAUCUGGUACACUGUUGAGUUUAAGCUUUAUAAAUCUGUAGUCUUCUCUGACUUUUUUUCCCACUCAAUAUAGAUCUUUUACAACCCGGCCACAUGGCUGCUCAUGGCUCAGAUUCACCUGUUUUUCACCGCAUUGUACUCUUCCUUCUAGUGUCUCUGCACAUCUUACUUACCCCCUCUUUAUGGGUGAGCAUUUGUUCCCAGCUCGACAGCCGGGCACUGCUGCUUCUCUGCCCUGCUUUGGGGUGUUGCACCUGGCCCUGCAAGCAUUUUUCUUUGGCUAGAUCUGUCACUAGGAGCUUCUGGAUGGACAUUGCAAAAGGAAGGGCAUCGCUUCCUGGUUCUGACACUGUCCCCCUCUGGCUUCUGUGGCGUGGCUGCUGGUGGUACAUAUGACACCCAGGGACUCUCACCCUCCAAAAAGCUUGGCGUCACCCCGGGGGAGGCUUCCCGCUUACCAGUCUGGGCCCUGUCUUUGGAGGCUCUGUCAGAGAGCAGAGCCUGGGCACUGCAGGGUAAGUGCCCUGUGAAUACCCUCUUCGUGGGGCCUGAGCCCCAGGCAAGCCUGCCCCUUCCCUGACCACUCCCACCCCCCACUCCAGCCCUCUGUGCUCUUCUGUGCUCUCAUCCCUUCUCAGCAGUGAAGCCCUUGCUACUAUUUAAGCCCCUGCUAUGUUACAUUUUCCCUGCUCAAAUUACAGGGUGGUUUUCCUCUCCUGUCUGUACCCCAGCUGAUGUCAUUGUCACGGAUCCUUUGGUGCCCUGUUGAUGAGGCAGGGCUGAGGGCAGUGGGGUCAGGCUGCCUGAUCUCCUGAAUCAGGGCCCGAAGCCUCAAGCCGGCUCUGAGCGCCUCACUCUCAGGGGCACAUGUUUAUUCUUUUUUCUCUUUAACCUCAGUCUUUACUGCAAAACCGAAAUCACUCCCGUGAUCAUAUUUGAAUCUCCAGUUGUACAAAAUAGGCUCAUUGGAAGCUAAUAUGUGAGAUUCACCACCCAGGGGUUUGGUCAGUAGGUAAUGGUGUGAUUGCCCACGUGAGGCUGAGUUCUGGAAGCAUCAGCAAGGGGGCCCAGCCAUGCUCAUUGUCCAUCCUCUUCCCAAAGAUGUGUUACUCUCCCCACUUCCUGCCCAGGUGGGAAGAGGAGCAGGCUCCCAGACAAACCCUCUCUCAGCAAAGCCUGGGAGACACUCUUUGGAUGGAAAUCUCCUCUUGCUUUGCUUGGGACAGUGGAACUCCUAGGUCACCAGCUGCCCUGGAAUUCUUCUUUCAUCGGAGCUUUGGUUCCUUGUUCGCUUCAGCACCUGGACAUCUUGUGUGCAGCCCUUCCUCCUUUGAGAAGUACCCUGCAGUGCCCAGGCUCUGCUCUCUGACAGACCUGAACUUGCAGCCAACCCUGCCAUUUAUACCUGAAUAAGUUGCCUCAGGCUCCCACCCCCAUUUCCCUAGAGCAGGGAGGACAAUGGGAGGAGCUGUCCUGGUCACUGAACACAGGAGAAAAUGGAGUGUGCAAAGGGCUGGGGAGCCUGGUGCCUGACUCAGCACUGGUUUGAUUAUGACCAGGCAGGUGUGAGGGCCACUGUCCUGCCUCAAGGGGCAGAACUGACCAGUUGGGGUAUUCCCGUCGUGGCUUGGUGGUUAACGAAUCCGACUGGGAACCAUGAGGUUGUGGGUUCCGUCCCUGGCCUUGCUCAGUGGGUUAAGGAUCCGGUGGCGUUGCCCUAAGCUGUGGUGUAGGUUGCAGACGUGGCUUGUAUCCCGUGUUGCUGUGGCUCUGGUGUAGGCUGGUGGCUACAGCUCCAAUUCGACCCCUAGCCUGGGAACCUCCAUGUGCUGUGGAAGCAGCCCCAGAAAAGGCAAAACAAAACAAAACAAAACAAAACAACAACAACAAAAAAGAACUGACCAGUUGGGAAAGUCUGCUUACAGGUGUACCUCCAGUAAUGAAUCCUUUUCCAUGAAGAUUUUUGUUGAAAUGAGAGGGAGGGAGGGAAGGAAGGAAGAAGGAAGAAAGGCUGUGCACUAAAAUGCCAUUUUACAUAAUUAUUCUAAUCUAUUCUGCUUAUGGGUUUGGGGAACUUAUGGAAUAACAUUCGCAAAAAAUUUUUUAAGUUCUUUCUAGAUGGUGGGCUGUAGGGUAGUUUUAACUUUUCUAUUUUGUAUUUUUCCAUUUUUUGAAUAGUUUUACAGAAAUAAAGUAAAUUCAGGAAACAGAGGUAGAAAUAAGAAAGCCUUUUCCCCAUGGAGGCCAAGUCAUCUGGGACAGCAGAGUUUGGGGGGCAGCAGGGUCCAUGGGUCAGCAAGAGAAGGGGGUGGGGAGUCUCAGGGGUGGUGCAAUGGACAGGGCUGCCAGGGGAACCGGGACAGCGGCACUGGCUUACCCGCCCGCCUGCCUGCCGCAGGCGUGGAGCGGUCACGUGGGAGGCGGCCGUGCUGGGGUGCCAUCCACUAGGGAACCGCACCUACCCCUGGUGCCACGUUUUCUCCUCAGCUGCUCACCUGGCUGAAGGGCGGUGGCGAGCCUGGGGGAAGCUGGCGACACAUGGGCAUCAGGGAACAGCAUCACAGAGGAUUUUUCAAGCAUUCUCUCUCAGCAGGUCUUGAUUCCUUGGGUCUGUGUCACGACCGUUAAUGACCCAUAAACUUCACCCAGCGUGACAUCCUGCACUGGAAGUUGGGGGGUGGGGGGCUGCCCAAACCACUGAAAUUGCCCCCAGGCUGGACCACAUUGGCUACUGCAUCUCCCGGCCCUGCAGGCAGACCCCAUUUUGCAAGGGAGGGACCUCCAUGACAGAGAUGAAGCAUCUGCUGGAGUCCUAGCAGCAGAAGCAGGUGGAGUAUGAAUUACCUGAGAUGCAAACAAGUGGCAAAAUGUUUCUCACAUUGCAUUUCAUUCUGCACACCUUCACUCUGGGCCCUUCCCUUUCCUUGGAACACUCCCCUCCAGUUUGUGCUCUCAGUUCCGCUGCAAAGCCCUUAGCUUUCUGUCGUCUCCCAGCCCUGGGGGCCUUAGGAGUCUGGUGAGCUACUUUGUCGGUCUGGGGGCUGCCCCUUUACUGUGUGUGCCCCCAGCUUCUCUGAGCUCCCCAUUUCCCCUCAGAGCCCUUAUGGCAGGACUUGGAACCUCCUAUGCACCAGUAGAACCAUCACCAGCACAGGGGUGGGGGCCUGUGCACUGGCCCAAAAGCUGGCGAUUCCUGUGUCGACCCCCUACCAUGGCAACAUCUCCGUGGCUCUCUCAGGUAGGGGAGGACUUCCUUUCUCCUGUCUGCCAUGGGGAAUGCUGGGCCUUGGGGUGAAGGGAGGUAUGGCCGGCCUCUCUGUGGCACCCUGAGAGGAGGAGGACACAGGCUGAGGCUCACACCACCAAGGCUUGAGGUCUUACUUAGAACGUCACACUAGCUGAUGAGCUCUGGACAAGGGGUCUGGGGGUACUUGUCUCAGCACCCCCGGAAGACAGAGAUUUUUGGUGGGCAAGAAAGUGUGGGAGUCAGCCAGUUCUGCCCCCUCUCCAGUCGUCUGGAGGCCCCCGGCUCUCUGGGGACUACCUGCCCCUUUGGGCCUGCAGGGGAGCUGCAGGGAAGAGGUGCUGGGGGGGAGCAGGGCUGCCCCACCAGCUGGGGGGCUGGCUGCAGCCAGGACCACUGGAGACUGCUUUCUGCUUGGGGUUGGCUGCUCAGCAAAGCGCCAGGGUGUUACGGAAACUUUUGCACUGUAGUUGGAAACUCCCAUGACACCAAGUGGGGCAGGGACACAGCUCCAGUCACACCCCUGUGUGAGGGGACACAGACAUGGGUGUGAGAACCGCUAAGCACCCAUGACCCCUGCUCCCCAGAUCCAUAAGUUCCUGACCCAUAGAAUAAUGCUAAUGCUGCAGGCCUCCGAGGAAAUUGACAGAACAGCCUUCCAUCUGGUGGUUGAGGACAGAGGCUCAGAAAGGUGCAGUGACUUGCCCAAGGUCACAGAGGCUUAGCCAGAAAUCAGGUUUCCUGGACGUCCCAUCCCCUCCCCUUUUACCGCAGCUCACAGCCCACUCACCCCUCCCCACCUCCUUCCUGGGAUCAGGGGCUCAGCCUGGGGACAGAUGGCCGCAUGAGAUCAGAUGCUGGGUGUGAGGCUGAGGCUUAAGGAGCCGGGGCCUGGCAGCAGCCGGCAGGAGCCUGUUCCUUCUCCCAAUGGCCCUCAGAGUCCCAGUCGCCCUGCGGGCCCAGGGAGGCCUUCUGUGCAAGCUCGCUCUCCAGCAGCAGGGAGCCCCUCAGUUUCCAGAGCUGGGGCAUCGGGGGACCUUCAGCAAGGUCGGGGAGAGGUGGGCUCACCAGACAGGGCCCUCUCUGGAGGAAACUGCUCCCCUCCGGGCCAUCCAUCAGGGGUCCAAGCCCCCUAAAGAUCCAGAUGCCUCUCAGUGUCUACUCCCCACCUGUGUGUCUCUCCUAGCAGCUGCCACACCCUCCCAGCUGCCUGGCUGGCAUUAUGGGGGAGCACUGGGCCUGCCAGGGCUGGGAAGAGCUCUCACUUCAGUGUCUCUGCUGGACUCUUCUCCAGACCCACAUCCUUCUUCCCUGCGUCCACUUUUGUCCCUUUGCAGUGGCUUCUCUACAGGCCAUGCAGUGAGUGUCUGAAAUACACUAAGAUACACUCACACCUUUGUCACAGGGCCACAGGGGCUACUCUCUGGAAACUGGUCCCACUUCUGCCUCCCCAGUGGAGGCAGUGCCCACCCUCGCUGUGUCACUGCUCUGUCAUUGCCUGUUUGUCCAGCGAGUAGGGCCUGGAGGACAGUGCUGGGUCCAGCUCACGCCUGUGCCUGGCAUUUCCUGGAGGUGUGGUGGAGCCUGUCCACCUGGCAGGGGUCCAGGCCUGGCCCUGCGGUUGAGCAGAGCAUGAGGCUGGGGCUCCCGUGGUGCCCAGAGGCCUGUCCAGUAGCUGCUGUGGGGUCAGCGCAUCUUCCUCUCAACGUCCUGACGGAGCAGGCUGUCUGGCUACUGGUAGAAGCACACAUUUUUGUCCUGAGCACAUUUAAGGAAGGAGGGGGGAGGGAGGGAAAGAGGAGAAAGGGCUGAAAGGAGGGAAAGCCCUUACUUCUCGGCCCAAGCUCCCAGCCUCCCCUGGUUUCCUUAGAGGAUUCGGGUUAAAGCCCACACGGCUCUACGAGGCCCUGGGCCCUCCUGCCUUUGUGCACGCCUCCCUCCGCAAAAACAUAUCUCACAGUGUGUCCUCUGGCUGUGUUCAGGUAAAGAUGACUGUAAUCUAGGCUGAAUUCAUCAUUCUGUACCCAUUAUUCAACCACUCAUUUUUCCUUCUGAUCUUAAAUUCAGACAUUCCAUGCCCCCGCCACCAACCCCGCCGAAUGUCGUGGGCCCCAGCCCCGUGCUUCCUGGGCCGCUGGAGGUCUCGGGGUGGGGGUGUCUGAGUGCCUCUCCAUCAAGGAGAGGCAGGGGUGUGGUGAGCGGGAGCCCCCACAGUUCUGAUUGGAGUCAGAGGAGGAAAAGGCAGGCCCCACAGGACCGUGUGUGGAGACGCGAUACAUCUAGAAGCACAGAAAUAAGCAGCCCUGGGAGACUCCCUGGAAGCUUGUCCGCCCUGUGCCAGGCUCCUGGCCCCUGCUGGGAGGGCCGCCACCGGCGCCUCUGUCACCCACAUGCAACUGCACCAGCCCCUCCUGCCGAGGCUCCCAGAGCCAUUUGUGACAAGUCACAAGUCAGUGCUGGGCCCAAGCCACAUGGAUCUGAUGCCACAUGGGAAGGAGUUGGUGUGGGGGCUGCUUUAAAGACUCGGGGGAAUAAAAUUUCUGAGUGGGCGGGGCAAGAACGAAGGGCGCAGGCAUAGGUGUUGGUUGGUUCUUCUGAUUCCUUGACUGCAGUUACAGUUCCAGUCAGUAAAUUCUGGGAGGAUCUCCCGAGCUGGGCAUUAGAAUUUGUUAAAAGUCUUCUUAUGAAUCUCUUUAGCAGUGGAUGUUUGGGAUGAAAGGAGAGAGGGCGUAGGCUUCGUGUGCCCUGGAGCCUGACCCCCAACCACACAGUGUGCCCUGUGUUCUCUCCAGGAAGGGGACAAUCCUGUCAUCAUCCAUCCUCAGGAAUCUUCUGAGCACACAUAGCAGGGGUGUAGGGGGUGGGAGAAGGUGCGUCCCUGGUGUGUCUGGAUGGCCUGGGAGUCAGGAUUCCAAGGACUCCUCCUUCCCUCUGCUGUGUCAGUAGCUACGCUCCUUGACUCGGGCCCCCUCAUCCUCUUUUCCAGUUCAGAAAUGACCAACAUUAGUUCAAAAAAAGAAAAAGAAAACCACUACUGGAGUGGUAAAAGAAGAAAAAAUUUUACUGAGCAAAUCCCCAAUUGCAUCAUCUUUGGUUUCAGUGAAUAACUGUGAGUCCCAAACUGGCAGCCUUUUUACUUAGAAAUGAGGUUUGGCAAAUCCAGAGAACUGGCUUUCCACCAAGAUGGAGGGGACCGAAUUCUGCUCCCGUAUUCACUUUUGAGGCGUUUCCAAGGAGUGAAGCUUCUAUUUAGCCUGUCUCCCACCAUCUGAAGCCCCUUAGGAAGGAGUCAGCUUUGGGUGACUGCUCCCUCUUGUCCCACCUGGAGCCUGACGCUGCUGAGACCCAAGGGGCAGAGCCCGGGUGCAGACCUACCCGCCAGCCCCAAUCAGGUCUCCCUCUUGUUGACACCAGGACUUGUUUCAGAAGAUGGCCCCAUGGCCCCUCCACCCAGCCUAGUGAAGAGCUGUUCAGAUCCCACUUGCCCUGGAACAGAAGCGGCUCUUCCUGACUCAGCCAAGGGUCUGACACCGCGGGGCUUGGUGCACAGCUCACCACCCUGGCCUGGCUGACCUUAGCAAGUUCUCAUGGACAGAUGGAGAUGGCUGUUGAUCAGGGCUUCCAGACUGCGGGACCAGCAGAGAUCAUGUCCAGCUGGGAGAAAUUAAGCCAAACUAUCGGCAUUGCCCCAACCCGAAGCUUAGGACCUGUUCUGAAAUGAAGAGACUUGUAGGCGAGCAAAUCACACACUUUCCAAAAGGCACAGACUCUGAAGGGCACCUCAUUGUAGCUGAGCUGAGUCCAACCAUCAGACCGAGGGGUGCUCCUUGUUACUGAUGUUUUAUCGACAUGAGGUGGAAUCUAAUUUGUCCCUGCUCAUCCAGCUAUGUAAAUGUUCUCUGAUGUCUGAGGACGAGGUAGCCUGGAUCCACUGCCAUAAUCAUCUACUCAACAUUUUCAAGGAGAGAGGCCAAGGCUGCAAAGGCAGUUUAUUACAUACAUUGGCCUCUGCACUUAUUUGGGUGAAAUCAUUUUCUAAUGUAUGAGUCUUUGCCUUAGAACCUGAAAUUGUGGUAAGUUGUUCACUUGAUUUUGUAAUUUUCCGGAGUGGGUCGCAUGCCCACUGGAGCCUGGGAUGGUCAGGUCCACCCAUCAAAUUAAUUGAAUCCAGAAUGGGAAAAAAUGGAGCAUCACUGAAGGGGAUGCUGGCCAGACAGGGUCAGCAGGGGACCCUCUGAAGCUGGCAGGAUGUGGCCCGGUGCUUUUGACCUCAUGCUCCGCAACCUCCCAGGCAGAUGCCAUUGAGGACUCAUUGAGAACUGACUCUGGACCAGGACCUAUGCUAAGCACUGCUGAGGAUGCACAGUAAGCAAGAUGUGGUCCUGGUGCUUACAGAUCUGGGUUUCUUGCAUGGCUCAUACUCACAUUCCUAUCAUGGGCCACAAGCCGGGAGUGAAAUGGCACCUUUCUUCUCGCUGGAACCACCUCAUUUCCUCUUUCCAGCAAAGAGGGAUGGAGAAACCUGCCCCAUAUGGAGAAGGCAUCAUAUACCCACUGAGAUAACAAAUGUCCUGUGACCUGUGGAGAAGGGCAGUUUCAAGGACACAACAGCCUCUGAUCCUGGUGAGUGGGCCGGGGCUGAGGGUGGCGGCACAGAGAAUAGCCGGGCUCAUCCAGUGUCCUGGUCUCUGUGUCCAGGGCUGCCCCCACCCCAGUCAGCCAGGGACCAGCCAUGGCCAUGGGCAGGGCCACAGCGGGGGUUCCCCUGACUGUCGGUUUUCAGUUCCACCUUAUGUCAAGCAUAUUUGAUUGUUUAAAAAUCUUUUUUUUUUCUUCCAAUGAACUUGCUCAUGCUCUUUGAACUUCAAGAUGGAAAAAUCAAAGUCUGAAUGGGUGAGUUUCCCAGGAAUUCCUGACCUGCUUUUGUGGAAACUGGUUCUUGCUGGAAGGACAAACUCCUUCCAGGGUCUCCACACACAGGUGCUGGCACAAGCAUCCAGAGGCUGGGUACCUGGGGCCCCCCCCAAAAGUCAGUGCAUGAGCAGUCCCGUGCAGCCCCACCCUCGGCUGGGUUUUGUUCGCAGUGUCCAGAGAGACACUGUAGGUCUCAGGCAGGGCCUGCCAGGUCCCUCUCUUCCUGUCCUGCUCCUCCACCUCCCCAUGCCUGCAGCACAGCCCUCGGAUCUCUCGGGCCUCAGUCAGGGGACCCUGGGGGACAGGGACCCAGAGUCCCAUUCAUCUUGGAGUGAGCCCUAGCAACUGGUUUCCUUGCUGCCAACCAGGUAGCUGGGUCUAUGUGUGUGAGCCAUUGCCUGGACAGCCCCACGUCCCCCUGCAGCUACACCUGGAAGCUCUAACCUGGCCUGUCCUUGAUGCCAUCGGCACAUCCUUGUCCUCACUGUGCCUUCCUGCCUUCCAAGGCCAGAGCCAGGCAUCUGACCUCCCUCCUGCCUGUUACACCAUUAAUGGACUUUGUAACCCCAGAUGCUUCUCUCCCAGGGAGAAAAAUUAAUUUUCACAUUUUGUGAUUUCCUUUGAUAGAAUUGACUCUUCAUAUCACACCCACACACUCACAGUUCAAGAUGGAGCCAGGAAACAGACUGGCCAGAAAGGUUCAGGACUCAAAGCCCCAAAGCCACCUUGCAUCAGCCAGGUGGUGGGGCCCAUAGGUGGGAAUUUGCCCACUUCCUGCUCAGAGGGGAUCAAAUCGCUGCUCUGAAUUAGAGCACAUUUUGCCUUUGCGAGACUUCUGGGCACUGCGUUUCUGCAUGUGAGAUAGAGGUGGCCAGGGCUCUGGGUUGGGGUCGUUCGCCCUCUCAUAUACACCUGCUCCAUGGGCUUCCCACGGGAUCAGGAGAAAACAGGAGCUUGGCAUGUGGUGUGUGCUCGUGGUAGGGACACUAUGGGUCAGUUCCAGAAGUCACAAUAAAGCGAGUCACAUUUUUUGGUUUCCCCGGGCAUAUCAAAGUUAUGCUUAUGUUAUACUCUAGUCUGUGAAGGGUACAAUAGCAUUAUGGCUAAAAAGACAAUGAAAAAUACUUUAUGCCUCAAAAACACUAACCAUCCUCUGAGCCCUCAGCCAGUCAUAAUCUUUUGCAAUAGUAACAUCAGAACUCCUGAUCACCCUAACACCUGUAGUAAUAAUGAAAAGGUUUGCAAUAUGGUGCAAAUUAAAGAUGUGACACAGAGGGAGUUCCCGUUGUGGCGCAGUGAAAACGAAUCCAACCAGUAUCCAUGAAGAUGCUUGUUUGAUCCCUGGCCCCACUGGUUAAGGGUCCGGUGUUGCCGUGAGCUGCAGUACGAGUCACAGACAUGGCUUGGAUUUGGUGUUGCUGUGGUGUAGGCUGGCAGCUACAGCUCCAGUUCAACCCCUAGCCUGGGAACUUCUAUAUGCCGUGGAUUCAGCCCUAAAAAGACAAAAAAAAAAAAAAAAAAAAGUGACACAGAGACAGAAAGUGAGCAAGUGCUGUUGGAAAAAUGGCUCCGAAAGACUUGCCCGGCACAGGGUUGCCACAACCUUCAAUUUGUAAAAAAGGCAACAUCUGCAAAGUGCAAUAAAUUGAGGUUUUGUCUAUGUACACUCGGGCACGCGCGCGUGUGCACACACACACACUCCACAGCAGACAUGUUAAUGCACAGAGUUCUGGAAGCAUACAAGCCAAAGGGUUAGGCAUUGGGUUUGCAGGAGGAGGUAAAGACACCAUGUGAGGUAUCUGUGCAGUACUCACAUAAUUUUAUUUUUGUAUUUUUUAUGGCUGCAUCCACACAUAUGGAAGUUCCCAAGACAGGGACUGAAUCUGAGCUGCAGCUGUGACCUAUGCCACAGCUGUGGCAACUCCAGAUCCUUUAACUCACUGCACUGACCUGUGCCUGGGAAGCGACCUGAGCUGCUGUGGUCAGAGUCUAGGAAGAAUGAUAAAUUUAAAGGCGGGAGCAGCUCUGGUGAAGGGUCCUCCUCUUGCAGGGCCUCCUGCCUGCACUUCCCUUCCUGGAGCCCUCCAGGCUCUCCAGCCUGGCCGUCUCCCUCCAUCCCAGGCACCUUCCUUCUCCCUGACCUGGGCUGACUCAGUGUCCAGUCCUCUCUGCAACUCCAUUCUGAAUCAGGGACGCCUUGCUGCCCUGGCAGCAGUCUCCUCCCAAACCAGUUAACACAGGCAAGAAAAAAGUAAUUCCACAAUUGGUUGCAGUUCUCUGUGAAGGUAUAAAUUAUACAUGACGCUGUGACAUUUGCAGCAGACUGCCACGUUGAUUUGGUUUUUGUCUGUGGUGGUGGUUUUAUCAAUGAGCUUUUCUUCCUGAGCAACUGCAGAUUCUGUUUUGUGCAAAUGAUUGAAGACAUUCUGGAAAUUUCUUUCUUUUUGAAUUAUCCACUCUAUCCAGACAUCCUAAAUCUUUGAGACAAAACAAAUACAGCACACGCCCAUGCUCACACAUGCGCGCACGCGUGCGCACGCACACACACACACACACACACACUUUGAAUUUCUGUCAGGCCCAGGGAGUCUCAGGGUAAAUGAGCCAAUUUGUUUUCAUUUAAAUAUGAAAGUGAGAGAAGGAAACGCAAUGAAUGAGCACAGGAGAACACAGAGCUGUAAGCUGGAAAAACCCAAAGAUGAAUUUGUCACGUCUCUCAUGAUAAAUGACGGCGAUGCAAUUAAACAGAGGCAGCCCAGCGAUCAUGAACACCCCAGUGCAUUGUGUUUUGAUCUGUAGGGCAGGUACCCUCAUGUUUCCUGUCAUAGACUCUAAACAUCACAAGUCUUGGGGGGAGGGGUGCCCUGGUGCCCAGGAUGCUGAGUUAUGCCAGGGGGACAGAAAAGUGGGUCAGUGGGUCACCUGUGCAGACCUGGCCAGGAACGAAGUUUGACUCAUGUGAGCCUAGCACUCCCUGAGUCCAGGCGGCGGAUGGUGGAGCCCCGGAUGGGGGCGGCUGGAAGGGAGACGCCGCAUCCUAGGGGUCAGAGGAGCUCCCAGGAAAACCCAGGUUCAGGUGGUGAUGCCACAGACAUCCGUGGCCCGGAAGACAGGAGAGGGCACGUAUGUUUGGAGCUCAGGACAGUGGAACAUCCACAUUUGGAGAGCUUGCUGCAUUGCUGGAGACUCUGUGCACACAUUGGAGCUGACUUGUGAGCAAGCAGACAGAUCAAGGCCUUUCAGAACUGCGAGGGCACUUGGGAGUUUAUUGAGCUCAACUUCCUUUCCCAAGCAGGAAUUCCCUCCCCAGGACCCUGGAUGGCGGGUCUGAACAUCCAGUUCCACCCAGAGUCACGAAGUGGGUGCUCAGGUGUACAUGGGUUCCUUCCUGCUGAGGGUUCAAGGUCCAGGUGGAUGGGUGGAUCCUUUGGACCGAGCGACGCCCCUCCCUCUCCUGCGUCCUGUGCCUGCAGCCCCUGCACAGCCUUCCUGUACAGACACCGUCCUUCUCAGGACAAGUAUGUAUGGGUGACUGCCCUCCUCCAUGGAAACCCAUGACGGGGUUCAAGGCCUGCUUAGACGGCACAGAUAUUGGUUCCCCAACCCCAAGUGCCCACCACCUGUUGGUCCUGCUCCUGCCUUCAGAGCCACAUCCUUCCCCUUCCUCUCGAACCUAGAAUCCACGGAGGGCACACCCAGGGUCUCCCCGUCACUCAGCGGCACGGGGGCAGGAGGAAGGGGGUCCCUCUGGGACAUGGAUUCUGGCACCUUCAGCAUCCUGGUCCCCUUCUGCUCUGGCCAUGCCUCCUUGUAAUUUCCCAGGUCUAACCCAUGCGUGGAUGGACUGGCAGGGCCAUUGCCUUCGUGCAGUGAGCACUUGGUCUAACUCCAGGAGCACAGAUUGCUGUUUUUCAAACAAGCCAGGAACAUUUAAAGCUCCGGGGUCAGGUUUGGACUGAAACAAUGUAAGCAGUUUUUGUGAUUUUCCAGGACAGGUUAAGACGCACCAAGUCCCAGGAGCGGGGCGUCGUGGCCCAGGCAAGGAGGACCUGAGCAUGGACGCCACCAGGUGGCGGUCUCGGGUCCAGGGCCGCAGGAGAACGUGCACCCCCUGUUGGCAAUGGGUCAGGAUGGGACCCGGGCUCGCCUCCUGCAUGGCCCCUGCUCAGAGAAGAGGGCCCCAAGCUUCCUGCUCUGAGCCCAGGAGCUGAAGCCUCUGAGGACCCCCACAGGCCCUGCGCGGAGGGCAGCGACUCCUCAUCUUCUGGCCUACGUGUGUCUUUGGGAGGUGAUCUCAGAGCUCUUGCUGGAGAAUUUGCCUUUUCCUGUGCUCACCCCCUGCUUUUGCUCUUUCCUGGACUGCAAGUGGCAGAGCUUAAGCUGCAGCUUCCUUAUAGCUGUUGCCUCUGCAGUUCCUGCUCAUGGUCCCCAGGGAGCAGUGGGCUUUGGGAAGGCCUUGCCAGCUUCCAGAACACCGACAUCAGGCAGGAGAGCAAGUACCUGGCAUACCUCCUCUCCACUGUUGUUAUUCCUUCUGGGAAAAAAAAAAAAAAAAUCAUUACUGUGUUUAGACAGAAUUUACUAGGACUUCGAACCGAUGAUGCAAAAAGUGUUCACCUCAAAUUCUAAGCAAUGGCUGGUUCUCCGUGCAGAGCAUGGCUUGCUAAAUGGUGGACACCAGAACUGACCACACCAGCUCUGCUGAAUUCCAGGGUGCGAGGUGAGUCUACAGAGAGCAUUUGCACCUCAAUGCAGUCUGGACCACAGGACAGUGAGUCCAUGGGAGGCAGGCUCUGUGUUACAGCCCCACAGAGCUGAGGCAAAGCAGAGAACAAAGAGGCUUUGACUUGCAAGAAGCAAACUCUCUGCCUCUCUGACUCCCCCACCCCCACCCCCCAGGAAAUGGGGAACCUUCCUCGAGAUAAGCAGCAGUAACAUGCUGACGCUGUUCUCACAUCAAAGGUGUGCCGGCAUCCAUGCCUGAAGGGGUCGUGGUGAUGCUGGGUCCUCAGCCGGUCUCUGUUUGGGGCCAUACUUGUUACAGGGCGCCAGGGGGAGAGCCCACAGGAGAGCCCACUUCAGACCCUCCUCCUUCUGCAGCAAUGCAGCUAAGGUCAAGGGUGAACCAGCAGUAAAGAGAUGAAUACAGGGAGCAGAGGUGAUCUGCGAGCUCAGCCCAUGUUGUAUUUGGCCUUGGUCAAUGGCUGAUGGAAAAGUCAGUGUUGGUGUGAAUAAAACCUGCUUCAGACAGCUGUGAAGGUGCUGUGAGGACCACGAGGUGUCUGCUGGUGGUUCCUACGGCCUCCAGAGAAAGGUCCACACUGGUCUCUUCUGGUCUGUAAUGUCAUGGGUCCCACUGCCCUGUAAGCCAGCUGCAUGCAUAUCUACCACCCCCAGGGGAUGGAGAGCCGCUCAGGAAGAGGUCUUAUGUCUUAUUCAUCUUUUUUCCCUGUCAGCUAAAUAGUAAUAGCCAACAUCACUGAAGUGCUUACUGUAGGCCAGGCCCUGUGCUAGGCAGGUCAUGGGUGUUACCUUUUAUUCCCCAUGCCAACCCUGAGAGGUUGAUAGUAUUUUCCUGAUUCUGAAGAUGGGGAACUGGCCCAAGAUGCCCUGCUGGUAAGCGGUAAAGCCAGGAGUGGGAUUUGAUGGGUGCUCUUGUGGUCAGGCUUUUAACCAUCGUAGCCCACAGCCCUUUCAGUAAGCCUCCCCACGUGCCAGGCAGGAAAUCAUCUCUCCCAAGGUCCCAAGGCACCAUAUCAGCUCUCACUCACAGCUCGUAGCAAAGCCGGUUUCUUACUACGUCCUUGGCACAGAGAACCUGCGUAUGAUGUUGUCAGCUACCUGAGAGCAGGAACCCGUCUUUAUACAUCUUUGUUGCCCCAGCGAUCCCAGCACCUCAUAUAUAGGAAAUGUCAACACUUGAUUAAUUGAAUCGAUUGUAUUUAUUUCUCAUGGUUAUAGAUGGCCCCAUAGAGGGUCCUUUGAGACUAAAUAACAUGGAUUAUUUAUCGAAUUGUGGCCAUGAUACACUUGAUAAUAAGCUGAAAGACGAACACAAGAAAAAACACUCUUGGCAGAAGCUGUAUUGCAAACACGAGUCACGUCCAGUGAUUUGAUGGGUGCACGUGUGAAGUGGCUCGUUGAUGGUUGCUAUGAGAACCAUCACUUGAGACUCCUGUUGGACCAUAGUGAUAAUGCAUCUUUGUAGUUGUGCACGUGAUGUGUCUGUGUGACAAAUGCAGAGCAUACACUGAGAGCAUAUGCCUAUGGUCGUCACUUGAUUGUCCCUGGAAAAGGUCAAUGCCAAAUAACUGAAACUUUUGCAAGUAUCUGUCGAUAAAGAUGCUGGCAGUCUUUCGUGCCUACUUCAUCGGAUGAUACCAUCGAUUAUAGGGGAAUUCUCAGGCUUCCUUGAGAAUCUACUAGGUGAAGGAGGCUGGUGCUAAAUAAGUAUUGUGUGAGAAAUAAAGAGCCAAAGCAGAUAGCCUUGAAUUUGAGAAAAUGUUAGUCCUGUUGAGAGCCCUGAUCUAGGAAACAGAUCCCUUAUAUACUUUGCCGUUUCCUCAAUAGUAACCUUUUGCAAAACUAGAUAUGAUAUCGCAACUAGGACUGAUAUCACAACCAACACUGAUACAAUCUACUGGCUUGGUCAGAUUUCCCAAGUUUUUCAUGUGUGUGUGUGUGCACGUGUGUUAGAACCUGUGCAGUUUUAUCACCUGAGUGGGUUCAUGUACCCACUGCACCGUCAGAAUGUUGAAUGGUUUGAAUAUCACAAGUGUCCCUCGCAUUGUCCUUUUAUAAUCACACCCGCCUCCCCCACCCCUAAUCCCCAUCCUUAACCCCUGGUAGCCACUAAUUUGUCCUCUCUUGGUAACGCUGUGUCAUUUCAAAAAUGUUCUAAUAAGUGAAAUCAUAUAGUAUGUAAUCUUUGGAGACUGGCUCUUGCCCACUCAUCCUAAAUCACUGGAGAUUCAUCUACGUUAAAUUUGGUUUGUAAAUAGUUCAUCACUCUCUACUGCUGUGUAGCAUUCUGUGGCUAGUUUAACCGGUUGCCUAUAGAAGGGUAUAUGAAUUAAUUUCAGUUUUCGGCCAUCACAAAUAAAGGUUCUAUAAACAUUCUGUACAGGUUUUGUGUAAGCGUAAGUUUAUAUUUCUCUAGGAUUAAAGAUGAGAGGGUGAUUGCUAAGUCAUAUGGGAGCUGCAUGAGUAGUUUCAUAAGAAGCUGCCAGACUGUUUUCCUGAGUGGCUGCACCCUUCGACAUUCCCACCAGCAAUGUAUGAGAGAUUCAGUUUUAGCUCAUCCUUGCCCGCUUUUGGCAUUGUCGCUAUUUUUUAUGUUAGUCAUCAUAAUACAUGUAUGGUAGUAUUGCUUUUGGUUUUAAUUUCCAUUUCCUGAUGGCUGAUGCUAUUGGAUGCCUUUUCAUGCUUACUUAUCCUUUGAAGACUCUCUUGAAUGAAAUGUCUGUGUAUAUAUUUUGCCCAUUUUCUAAUUGGAUUUUUUUUUUUGUAUUUGCUGUUGGGAUCUGUGCUUUUUAAAAAAUAUAUUCCAGAUGUUAGUCUUUUGUCACAGAUGAGUUUGUACAUCCUUUUCCCCAGUCUGUAGCUUGUUUUUUCAUCCUUUUAACAUGAGCACUCAUAAAACAAAGGUUUUUAAUAUUGAUGAGGUCGAAUUUGUCAGUGUUCCCUUUUGUGCAUUAUUCUCUUGGGAUCAAGUCUAAAACCUCUUUGCAUAGUUCUUGUUUCUGUAGAAUUUCUCCUACUUAAUAAAAGUUUAUGCUUUUGCAAUAUUACUUUAAAAGUCCAUGCUCCAUUUUGAGUUAAUUCUGUAUGAGGUAUGAGGUUUAGGUUGCUGUUCAUGUUUUUGACCUAUGAAUGUCCAGUGGCAGUAGCUUAAUUGGUUGGAAAGUCUUCUAUUGAGUUGCCUUUUCAUCUUGUCAAAAAUUAGUUGGCAUAUCUGUGUGGGUCUAUUUCUGGGUUCAGCGUUGUUCCCUGAAUUCACCUCUCUACCCUUCUGUCACUACUAUGCUGUCUUGAUUACUUAUAUACAGGCCUUAACACUGGGUAGAAGCAUUCCUCCCACUUUAUUCUUAUUUGUCAGGAUGAUUUUAUCACUUCCUGGGCCUGUGCUGCAUCACAUGAAAUUUAGAAGAUUGUCCUGAUGAUAUUUCAGCUACCUUACUGGGAAAACAUUUCUUGGAUUUUGGUAGCAAUUGCAUUAAAUCUAUACAUCAGUUUAGGGAGAAUUAACAUCUCUAUGUUGAGCAUUGCAAUCCAUGAACAACAUAUGGCUCCCUGUGUAGUUAGGUCUUUUCAAAUUUCUUUCAUUAGCAUUUUGUAAUUUUCAGCACAGAGAUCCCGUACAUGCUUCAUUAAGUGUACACCUAAGUAUUUUAUUUUCUUUGCAGUGGUUAUAAAUAGUCUUGUACUUUUUUUUUCAGUUUCCAAAAAUUUAUUGUCAGUAUACAGAAAUGCCGUUCAUUUUUGUUUGCUAAUUUUGCAGCUUGUGACCUUACUAACUCCACUUACAUAUUCUAGAAGGUUUUUUAUAGAUUCCUGGAGACUUUUUACAGACAUAGUCAUAUCAUCUAGAUGAUAUAAAUAUGUAUCAUCUAUAAAUAUAGUUUUAUUUCUUCCUUUCCAAAAUAUAUCCUGUUUAUUUCUUGUUUUUGCCUCAUUUCAGUGAACAGAGCCUUUCCAGUACUAUGUUGAGUGAGAGUGGUGAGGAUAGGCAUCUUGGUCUUCUUCCUGAUUUCAGAGGGAAAACAUUUCCUUACUAAGAAUGAUAUUAGUGGAGUUCCCAUUGUGGCUCAGUGGUCAAAGAAUCUGACUAGUAUCCAUGAGGA